rnacentral:lncRNA from 1 species
UCCUGUUUUCGUUCUUCAGGUACGACCAAUUCUGUAGCCCACAUUUUGUCUGUAUAAGUUUAUUUUGCGUGAAAUUUAGGGCUUCUGCUUGGAUCUGGUGGAUAUCUGCUACAUCCUGCAUUCAGAUUCUGUCUGUCAAAAUUUGGACUGAGUAGGGUUUUUGUGUGUGUCUGUGUUUUUUUUUUCUUUUUUAAAUUCUAAUUAUGCGCUAUUUUUCAGCUUAGAAAUGGAACCAAGAUGAAGCUGGUGCAAUUUGUUUAUUUGUUUUUAGCUUGGAUUAUCUAGAAUAAUAAUUGAAAAAAAGCUCAUUUAAGCAAAACAAAUUGCGUAGUUUCCCUGCUUUUUCUUUUUGGUUGAAGUGUAAGGAAAUAAAAGAAUCUAUAGCUAUCCUUUCAGUUUUUUUUAAUUUUCUAACUUUUCUAGUUCUCUUUUAAGCUGAGGCAGUAUAUUUGUUGUUUACGUAGCUAUAAUGGCAAGUGCAGACGUUUCGAUGCGAUAAAGCAACUAAUAUUUGGAUUUCUCAGUUUUAUGCUAAUGUUGGUGAUAGAUUAUUAGAAUGUUACUCGAAAAUCUCAAUACCUUCAAUGACAAUAGUGACGCACAACCACAGUGGUAGUACUGUACAUAAGUAUGCUGCGUGUAGACGAAGCUUGAACUUUAUAUUUUCUUUUAAAGAAAAAGUGACGUAAUUAAUAUAACUGGCUGAUUUUAUGUUGGCAAUGACAUGUUUUUGUUCUUCCUUUUUCCAAAGUGUUUGGAUUAAUAUGAUGGCUUUUAAUUGUAGCUGUGUCCACAAUUUAUUUGGGAGAGGAGGAAUUCUAGGUCACCUUAACAUGAAUAAUCAACAACAAAGGAAAUUAGGUGAGAAUGUGAUAUAUGACAGCUUAAAUGGCAAUCAUGCUCUGAAUGCAGAUGAAAAAGAAGCGCCUGAAGGCAUCGAUGGUAGGACUAAUCACCCUUUCUUCCUCUCUGCCUUUCCCAACAUUCACACUGAACACUUGUUCCUGUUUGCUACUUUCAUCUUACGUAAGAACUUUGACUUAUUUAUAGGCAACAUACAACCAUUGGUUGAGUGGUUGAACCAUAUGAUUCCCCAUUUAAAUUUGCCACUGGAAGCUUCAGAAGAAGAAUUGAGGGCAUGCCUUAUUGAUGGCACUGUUUUGUGUAGCAUUUUGAGCAAGCUGAAUCCUGGUUUGGUUGAAAUGGUUGGAUUACUUUUCCCUUAGAGUUUAUGCUUUUGUUGUGCUUUAGUUUGUGGUUUUCAGUUUCCCUAAUCAGAGUUUGUUUUCCUGAAUGUGCUUUUGAUUUUCAGAGGGGCAACUUUGAGCCUGGUCCAGAAAAAGUAAAACUGUUUCUGGCUGCGAUGGAUGAAAUGGGAUUUCCUAGGUUUGUACUUGCAGACAUAGAACAGGUAUGGAAGGCUUCUGAAUAAGGACAACUACGUUUUAAGUGAGUCUGAUUUUAAAUUUAUCUAUUAUUGGACAAAAAACUGGUUGUAUCAGUUCAUAAACCUUACCGGAACUUUAUUUAUUUAUUGUAUUUCUUGAACUGUCCAAGUAGAAUACUAACUCAUGGUGUGGAAAAGUUAAAAGUACUUCAUUUGUUGUUCCUAUAUUCCUUGUUGGAUUAUUUUAUUAUGUCAUUUGAGAUACUUUGCAGGGAUACAUGAUGCCAGUUUUGCAGUGCCUUGGCACUCUUAAAGCACAUUUUGAUUAUAAUGGUGGGAAAGAGGGCAUCCGUAAUCAUUCAAGAAGAUUAUGGAAUCUAUUGUUGGCAAAUACCAAGGGGACACACCAACAAUCAGAAGGAAUUGAUCAUUCCAAAGGGGUGCAUCGUUCUGUUAUAUCAGGUAUCUUACUAUCCAGCUCAAGAGAAGUUAAACAUGCAUGUAUUGGAUUUUCUAAUCUCCAAUUAAUUGCAUGAUAAGAAUCUGUAUAGCAUGUGCUGUAAAUGCUAUGAUCUUCUUAAGAUUUUUGUAAUUACCUAAUAAGAAUUUUAUGUAUGCCAACACUUAUAGUAAAUCUGUUAGAAUUGUUCAGAUCUAUGCUUUUUCUAUUAGACCUGAUUGAACUCAUUCUUUCAUGCACUCUAGUGGUGUAAAGUUACACAGUUUGCGAAGAAGCAAAAAUGUAGGACAAAGAUGCUAUGGGUUUUGAACAUGAUUGUUUAAAAUCUAGAAUUUUUAAUGACAUUCUUUGAGAAAAGUAAGUGUUCAAUAACUGUUUGUUAGGAUAUAUUUUCUUUUGUUCUUUGUAAAUGACUUGGUGCUAAUUAAAAUCAGGUGAUUUAUCAACUGAGCUAAAAGUUAAUGCUUAAUGUUGGUUCAUUUAUCUUGUGAUUAGAUAAUGUGAGGAAAAAGACAUUGAUGCUAUGGUUUUCGAACAUGGUUGUUUAUAAUCUAGAAUAGUGACAUUGUUGGAGAAAAGCAAGUUAUACGUGACUAUUUGUUAGGACAUGUUCUCUUUUGUUCUUUGUAAAUGAGCUGGUGCUAAUUAAAAUCUGAUGAUUUAUCAACUGAGCUUAAAGUUAAUGCUUAAUGCCGUUUCAUUUAUCUUGUGAUUAGGUAAUGUGAGGAAAAAGAAAAUGUAAGGAUUACUCAAUCAUAUGACAACUUAAUUUUCUGAUUAGGAGUUAGGAUUUAAACUGUUCCAUGCAUACCUGUAUCACAAGAUUAAUUUGUGAUUGUUGAUUUUGUCCUAUUCAUUUUGUCCAUCCUUCACUGUCUUCUCUUUGUUUGCGGCUAGUAAUCAGCUUUCCCAUUCUUUAGCUUUCUUUUCUUAAACCUUCUGUGUACAUGUGCAUAUGUGAGCUUGUUUGCUCAUUUUUUCCCUUGUUUGUGGUUUCUUUUUUAGAGCCUUAUCCUGCUUUGUUGCAUGAUGCUGGACACAAGUUUUCCAAGGAGUUGCCGCUAAAGCAAGAAUACUAUGCUGAUCUUGUGGAUUCUAAUAUUUGGGAAUUGAUGAAAUCAAACAGUUUGGAUGUAAACUUCUGAACUUGCUUGUUCUUAUGUCUAGAGUGAACAUCUGAACCAGAAAUACACAAUGUAUGAAUCAACUUGAAAUUUGAUGCUAUUCUGAUGCAAUUUUCUUUUUCAGAAUGCCUCAACUAGAACAUUGUUCAGUUUGGUGUAUAAGAUACUGGAUGAUAGCACAGGAAGGAAGAAUGGCCACAUUCAACAUGUAUGUCUGUAAAGAAGAAGCAUCAAUGUUUAUAUUUUAGUGCAUGCAUAAAAUGAUGUGUUAUUUUUUUAAUUGCUAAUUUCUUGGUGUGUGGUUCCUUUUGAAUGUGGAAGUAAUCUUUUUAUAUUUAUCUUUUCACUACAGAUGGUACAUAUAUUGAAGAAAGUCAUCCAAGUUAUUGAGCAACGAUUUUCAAUUCAAGCAGAGAACUUGAGAGAUGUAAUGUGUUGGAAAUCCUUUUCUAUAGUAAUCUAUGCCUUUGCUGCAAAAGCACAUGCAUAUGGUUUUAUAUGCAUGUGCAUUAUUGUAUGUUUAUCUAAUCGUUUGCAUAGGGAUCAUGCAGAAUAAUGCUUGUAUUGUUGCUUGUUUUCAGCAAAACAACCUCUAUGGCAUUCAUACAGAGAAGUACCAAUCAAAAAUAAGAGUACUUGAGACCCUUGCAUCUGGGACCGCAGUAGAAAUUGAGGUACUCUGACUGAUAGAUUGAAGCAUCUAGCUACAAUUUUGUGUAUUUAAUUCUCAUAGUUAGUUUCUAUCUAAUAUUCUUCUCCAUUAGGUAUUAUUGUCGCAACUACAGAAGAUAAAGGUACUCUUCAUCAGCUUAUCUCUAACUCUAUAUUACUGUAUUUAGCUAAAGGCACAUGUUCUGGUUGUUGAUUCUUAUUCUCAAUGCCUUAUCAAGCAUGCAUUUUUUUAAUUGAACUUGUACAUAUGCUCAUCCAAAAAGGAAGAGGGAGGGGGUAGGAUGGGGUGGGGUGCAAGUUCCUUGCCUUUGUUGCUGCACAUGGUUAGUUGAGUGCUUAUGGCAAAGAACUGAAUGUUUGCCAUGAACUACUCUGCUCCCUGUAUUUUUUAAGAUUGAAAGAAAGAAUCAUUUUUUAAGCUGUAAAUAGUAAUGCUUAAUGGAAUUAUCUAUUUGAGUUCUCCCUUUUCUUUUUGUUUAUUUUCUUAAACGUUUCAUAUUCUUUAUGCAUCUAGUCUAGUAUAAUACAUUUAUAUGCUAAUUAUGCAAGUAAGUUGUGUAUAUGUUAUAAAAAAAUUGUAAUUAAAAUUUAAAUCUUAAGCUGAUAGUGAUCAUGCUGCCUGCUCUUCACAAUUGAUAAGGAAAGAGAACUUGCUGAGACAUUCCUAUGCUAGCAUAUGCUCUUUUUCUGUUGCUUUAUAUUUCUUCUAUGUUGCAGAUUGAGAAGAUCAAAAUAGAGCACAAGGAAAAGGUUGAAGAACAGGAACUCCAUAAGUUAAAGGAAGAGAAAAAUCAUAAUGAUAUUGAGAAAUUAACUCUGAGAGAGGAACUAGAAUUAGCAAAGAAGAUGCAUGAAGAGCAUUGCUUAUUGUUGGAAGUGCGUGCAAAGGAAAAAAAUGCUGAAUUAGAGAAGCGAAUGGAGGAACUUGAGCGUCUUCUUGUAGAGUCAAGAAACAAAGUGAAAGAACUUGAGUCGUUUUCUGAAUCUAAAUCUCAAAGAUGGAAAAAGAAAGAAGGAACCUAUCAAAGCUUUAUAAAUUAUCAAUUUGGAGCUUUCCAGGUUUGUCUUUAAUCAUCAUGUCCUUAUUUAGUGUUGUUUUGAUGCAAUGGUAUACCACAUUAAUUUAUGAGGCUGAUACUGUCAGGAAUUGAGAGCUACAUCUGAGUCCAUAAAACGUGAAGUCUUGAAGACAAAACGGAGUUACUUGGAGGAAUUUCAAUGCUUAGGUAGAGUCAUUUUUCAACUGUUGGUUUCCUUCAAAUUAGUUUUGUAUUGGGAUAUGCUUUUGCUUUGAGCAUUAUUUUUUUUGUGAUGUAUAACAACUUCUAGCUUGAACAGGAGGGAAGCUUAAGGGACUGGCAGAUGCUGCUGAGAAUUACCACUCUGUGCUUGCAGAAAAUCGAAAACUGUAUAAUGAAGUUCAAGAUUUGAAAGGUACACUGUUGAGUAUAACUUCAUCUGUAUCUGGCCUGCUUGUCACUCAUGUUUGUUUUUUCAUAUCUCAUAGGAAAUAUUCGAGUGUAUUGUCGGAUAAGACCAUUUCUUCCAGGCCAAUGUAAAAAGCAAACAACCAUAGAGUAUAUUGGUGAAAAUGGUGAAUUAGUGGUUUCAAAUCCCUCAAAACAGGGAAAAGACAACCAUAGACUCUUCAAAUUCAACAAGGUUUUUGCUCCAACUGCUAGUCAAGGUUGGAAUUUUUAAAAAUUUUGAUCGUUGAUUUUGUGCUUCUCUACCUAUUUAGAGAGGAUAUGCAACUCUUAUUUACAUUGGAAAAUACCAUUGCUUUCAGAGGAGGUAUUUUUGGACACCCAACCACUAAUUCGGUCUGUUCUCGAUGGAUAUAAUGUCUGUAUCUUUGCUUAUGGUCAAACUGGCUCGGGCAAGACUUACACAAUGGUACCAAACUAAUCUAUAAGUUUUCAUUUCAAACACUUUGCUUGCAUUGAAAAUUGUUCUUAUGUAUUUGAGGUGUUUUUGGGUGUAUUCAUUCUCUAGAGUGGACCUGAUUUAUCAUCAGAAGAGGAUUGGGGGGUCAAUUAUCGAGCCUUACAUGAUCUUUUCAAAAUCUCGCAUAGCCGGAAAAGCUCCAUCAGAUAUGAAAUUGGUGUACAAAUGGUUGAAAUAUACAAUGAACAAGUUCGCGAUCUCCUCUCAAGCAAUAGCUCUCAGAAAAGAUAUCCUUCAUUUUUAUUUGUUUACUUUAGAUAUUUUUGGAUUUCUCCUUCACAACUUUCUUGUGAUGAUGCUACAAUUUUUAUUUUUUUUUAAAAAAAAAUUGUUAAUGAGUGAAUACUACUUUUUUCAUUUUCUCAUGUAUAUCAAACCAAAGGAUAAUAUUGCUACACAUUAUCUUGACUUUAAUGUCAACCAAUUGGCAUUUUUCUUAACUUGCAUACACUGGGGAUUUGGAGUACAACCCAACCAAAUGGGUUAGCUGUCCCUGAUGCUAUCAUGCACUGUGUUAAAUCAAGCUCAGAUGUCCUAGAGUUGAUGAAUAUUGGGCUGAUGAACCGUGCUAUUGGUGCUACAGCCCUGAAUGAAAGAAGUAGCAGAUCCCACAGGUUGUCUUUCUAAAAAUGAUUGUCUAACGCUGAAUUUCCACUACUAUUUUUAAGGGUUCUAAUUUACUUUCAGUUUGCAGUGUGCUCACUGUUCAUGUUCAUGGCAUGGACUUGGAGACUGGUGCUGUUUUGCGUGGUAAUCUGCAUUUAAUUGAUCUUGCUGGAAGUGAAAGGGUGGAUCGAUCUGAAGCAACUGGAGACAGGUUGAAGGAGGCACAACACAUAAAUAAAUCACUUUCCGCACUUGGGGAUGUGAUAUUUGCUUUAGCUCAAAAAAAUCCACAUGUUCCUUACAGAAAUAGUAAAUUGACUCAAGUACUGCAAAGCUCUUUAGGUAUUAUUUUCAGUUUCCAGUCUUACAUUGUGUAUGGUUUUGUAAUAUGCAAUACAGAAAAUUUAAUUGUGUUAUUUUACUUUGUUUUACUAGAACUUUAACCACUUUUCACAUUCUAGGUGGUCAAGCAAAGACCCUCAUGUUUGUCCAGCUGAAUCCUGAUGUAGAUUCAUAUUCUGAAACUAUAAGUACCUUAAAGUUUGCUGAGAGAGUAUCUGGCAUUGAGUUGGGCGCUGCAAGGAGUAAUAAAGAAGGAAGGGACAUUAGAGAACUUAUGCAGCAGGUUGUUGGGUUUUCAAAUUUGUCAAUAUUAAUACAGUUGGUCUUCAUGAGUUCUUUCCUUAAUUUUCUCCCAGACUGAGAAUAAAUCGAUAAGUUAAUAUUCAUUCAUUUAACUAUGCAUGUGUCAAUGUGAUACCGUCAAGAAAUCUAUUUGUGUUAUCUAAUCUUGCAUUGUAAAAUUAGGAAAUAAAGGUUUAUACUAAUAGGAAGUUUAUAUUAUUUAAGAAUUCUAUUAAUAUAUUGGAAGUAUAGUUUAUUAUUUAGGACGUUAAAUUUUGUCUAAAUUCCUAAUUAGUAUUUCUUGUUUAGGAUUCCAAAUCCUGUAUGUAGGAUUACAAAUACUACUAUAAAUACCUGUCUUUUAGGUAUUUUGGUAGAGUUAUUAGGAUUACUAAUGAUAUUAAGAAUUAAUAAAGUUUUGAUAAUGUUUUCUUCGGGUUUGUGUUCUUUUGUUUCUACAUCACAAUGACAAUAAGAACCCUACAAGUACGGCCCCCUGGAGUAGCAUGCCCUUGGUUGGAAUUGAAUUUUGCCUAACCUGAUGACUUAAUUGCCUGUUCAUUUUGUUUUUCUUUUAGGCUUGAGUGAUGCUUUUAUGAUUUCAUCUAUAAGCUGUAGAAAUGGCUGUGCUUCCUCAAGUCCAUAAAGCACAAGUUGCUUUACAUAAUUGGAGCUUCCAUGAAUUCAUAGUGGAGGUUACCUAUUUUAGAUCUAUGCUAUGGUUGCCUAGCUCUCAUGUCUAAGAACAAAAACACAGUUGAUUCUUCAGGGUAAAAAUGUCACUCCACAUGGAUCACCCCAACUCUAAAGUUUGAUGCUAAAUAUUUGGUCUAAUUCAUUCGCUGUCUCUAAAUUGAAAAGAAUCUUGCAGGUGGCAUGCCUCAAGGACACUAUUGCGAAGAAAGAUGAAGAGAUUGAGCAGUUGCAGCAGCUUAAAUCUAAUGUGGUUGGCAUGAAGCAUGGUGUGAACUCCCUCAGAAGUGAAUCUUCUUCUCCAAGAAGAUAUUCAAUUGAGGGUCCUCGUAAAGCCCCUAUGACAAGUGGGGAGAAAAGCUUAGGACCUUAUGAUAAAGUGGCUUCUGACAUCGAUAAUAGUUCAGAUUACAGUGAGAAACGAUCUGAAGCUGGUUCUCUACAGUCAAGGGAUGACUUCAGGCAUCAAGAGGCAUCUUUUCCGCAGUCAAGGUCAAUGGGUGACUUGAGACUUCAAAAGGAAUUUCUCUCUCAACCAAAGCUUAGAAAAGAUAUAGGUCAGAAUCCUAAAGAAGACAUUGACCUCUUGGGGUUUGGAGAUGUGGAUUCUGAUGAGAGAUUGAGUGACAUAUCUGAUGGUGGUCUUUCAAUGGGAACUGAAACAGAAUCAGUCGAGUUCACUCUUUUUCCUGAGCCAGCAAAAUCACCUGGAAGUACAAGACCAGCUGAAGCUGCUGAACCUGCAAAAUCACCUGUUGCAACACCAGGUGCAGCAAAACCAACUGAGAAAGCAGAGAACACCAGGAAGUGAGUAUACUUGAACAUUAGGUUUUAUUGUAUGAAUAUUUAGGUUUAGACAGUUUUCUGAAAUUAUUAACUGCUAACAUUACAGACUGAUCUAUAGUUUUCAUACUUCAAACUCUGGUUCUAGCAUCAUUAAAAACAUUUAUGGUGCAAAUGGUUAUGCUUUUUUGCUCGACCUUUCUCAAUGCUGUCUACUUAAUGUAUUUACUGUUCACUCGUUCAUUCAUUCCAAGUUUUUGUUCGUUCUGCAUCAUUUAUACCUUUUCAGUGUUUUUCCCUAUUCUGAUUUUUGCAUCCUAUUGCUUGACCAAAUUCGUUCAAAUCAAUCUGACAUUUGAUAAUUCUAUUGGUUGGAAGACCCAGUUUUAUAUCCAAGUUACCAAGGCCUCCACAGCAAUUGAUGCAAACAAGAUUGUCACGCCUAUCAUUGACUAAGAAUUCCACUCCAAGGGCCUUAUCAAGUACGUGCAUUUCUGUGUUAUUCCUUCUUUGUUAUUUGCACUCAGUUUUGCUAAAUAUUCAUCUCUUGGCUGCUAGUUCCAUGACUUUCAUAUAUAUGGCCUCUAUGUUAAUUGACUUAUAUCCCAUGCUAACACUUGUGACCUAUCGCUUUAUUUCUAUGACAGCACCUCGGACUCUUGGUAGUUCCUCCGCAGCCAAGCCUCCAAAGAAAUGGCACUAAAUAUUGGAGACAUUUUGGAUGGUAAAGAAAUUGACACUUGCAGUAGUUUGUAGAUUCUAACUUUGUCAGGUUGUUCCUCCUAGAAUUGUCCUAGCUUCCAUUUAUUCCAAUAGAAAUGUUCACUUGGGAAGCGAUAAACCAGAAGACUGUGGUUUAAAAUGUAUAUACCUGAGGAUUAUCGUUUCAAGUCCAUCUUUUUAGAUAUAUCGAGUUCUGGCGUUGUCACACCACUGGUGUCUUGCCAAAGCUCGUUGAAAUGGAACGUGGAUCAUGUACCUCAUUGAUCUAUGUGCGUUGUGUCAAAUUUAACAAAAUCACCUCAUCUUGAUUGUUUGCAGAACCCAAAGGCAAAAUAUUAUUCUCAAAAUAAUUAAAAUUUAGAGAAAAUUAUUACUUAAUCCUAUAAUAUAAAAAAAUUUACUAGUUUAGUUUUUAAUUUUAAAAAAAUAUUAAAAUGUCUCUGUUUUUUGAAAAAAAUUACUAUUUAAUUAUUUUAUUAAUUUUAUUAUUAAAUAUUUUAUUAUUUAAUUUUUAUAAUUUUAAAAAAUUUAUUAAUUGAUUUCUUAAAUUUUUAAAAAUUUAUUAAUUAAUAUUUUUUAUUAGGCAUUUUUAAGGUUUUUAUAAUAUUUAACAGUUAAUAUUAAUAAAAAAAUAAAAUUAUUAAUUUUUUUAAAAUAUCAAUAAUUUUUUAAUGCAUUUUAUAAAAUUGAAGUUUCAAUUAGUAAAUUUUUAAAUAACAUAAUAAUUAAAUAGUAAUUUUUUUAAAAAUUUAUCUCACUAUUAUUCAGAAUUCUUUAUACUACAAAAAAUUGUUUAAACUGUAUACAACUAACCAAGGGUACAUGAAAAAAAUACUAUUAGCACGACAGCUCAGAAUUUUGCGAGUUUAAUACUCAUCAUUUAAAUUUGAUAAUCAAAUAAGAAAUGGAUAGCGAAUACUGAAUAUAAUUAUUUAUUUUAAUGUAUGAAAAAUAUAGAAUUUUUAUGUUAGUGCAAUUUAAAUUAUCAAGGAUAUUACCACCUAGCGCACGUUAGCGAAUAUCACUUUCCGCCUUACCAAUCUGUCCAUGCACAGAGCCGGCGGAAGUAGCAGACAAAAAGAUGAACUCGAGUUAAAAAUACAAUAUAAACCCAAACAAUAUAAGACCUGAAUUUCCCUUCACAAUAUUUUCUGGAGAAAAUGAACCAGAAAGCUCUGCAGUUAAUUCAUCCAGAUCUCAGCUUCUUUGUAGUUGGAUAGACUCUAAAUUUAUGGCUUGUAAAUUUUGCUUCUUGUCUUUUUGAAUGUUGUG